GCCAACCACUAGAAGAACCUAGCAGAAACCUUUCUGGCCUUGAAAACAAAAAGAAAAGUACAAUCAUGGGAGAUGGUGAAAUGGAGUGUUUCGGCUCGGCGGCCAUUUAUCUCUGGCAGCCAGAAAGAGAGCGAAUCAAGGCUCAGAAAACCCGCUUUGAUGACAAAUCAGCAUUCUUCAUGACAGAUGCAGAUGAGAUGUACCUGAAAGGUAUUCUUUUUAGUAAAGAGGGUGGCAAAGCUAAUGUCAAAACUCACAGUGGGAAAACUGUUACAGUAAAA